GCCGGCUAGCAACCCAGUGUGAAAGCUACUAACCGCGCGGAGUUUAUCACAGUCCUGUCCUCCCGCGACCCCACUCAAGAUGUGAAAGUGUGCCCUAUUUGGAGAAGCUCCUCAGAAAGACACUAUGGGGAAAAGGAGGCAGUCAUACAUGGAGUAAUGGAGAUCUGAUUUGAACUUUAUCAGGAAAGAAGGAAGGAAAAGAGAGAAGGAAGACAGACCCAGCAGGGCUGUGGAGCAUGGACUGGGCCGCAGUGAGGAGACCAGGACUCUCUGGGAAACAUUUGGGAAACGACUAAGGCAGCGGUGGAUUCCAUCAUGUCAUCUGCAAAUAAUGAAGAGAAUCAUAGCACAGACACCCAGGGUUCUGGAAGAAGUCCUUAAUCUCACCUGCAAACAAUUGCCACCUUUGGAAAACCAGCUUCUGGCUGACAACUGGGCUCUGGAAGAAGCUGAUCGCCUGACUAUGAAACACUAAUGGGAACUGCCCAGCAUGAACUGAAAAUUAUCCAAUCCAUUGAACCGUAAAGUUGGAGAUGCAAGUCAGCAUUCCAUUAUAAAAUUUAAGGAGUUUAUUCUUUAUUCUUUAUAAAUAUUUAAAGCUGUAAAUUUCACUGCUUUAGCUGCACCUUGCAAAUUUUAAAUUUUGUUAUCAUUCUAAUUUCCUUUAUGAUUGCUUUGGCCAAUGAUUAUUUGGAAGUAUGUUGCUUAAUUUCCAAAUAUUUGAGUUUUCUAGAUAUCUUAUGAUUAUUGGUAUCUAAUUUAAUUCCACUGUAGUCAGAGAAUUUAUUCCAUAUGAUUUAAAUCCUUUUAACUUUAUUGAAACUUGUUUUAUGGCCUAGCAUAUGGUCCAUUAGUGAACAUAGCACAUGUACUUGGGGGGGAAAGAAGCGUAUCCUGCAAUUGUUUGGCAUGAGGUUCUAUAAAUGUCAAUUAGGUCAAUAUGAUUGACAGUAGUUCAUAUCAUUUAUGUCUUGAUUAUUUUUUUUCUACUAUUCCAUUGAUUGCUAAGAAGGGUGUUAAAAUCUCCAACUAUAAUUGUAGAAUUGUCUACCUCUUUUUAAAAUUUUAUCCAUUUUUGCUCGACAUAUUUUGAAGCUCUAUUACUAGGAAAAUAUACAUUUAUAAUUGUUAUGUUUUCCAGGUGAAUGGACCUUUGUAUCAUUACAAAAUAUCCAUAUUUAUCUCUGAUAAUAAUCUUUAUAUUGACAUGUACUUUAUCUGAUAU